AAAUAGGGAUAUCUUUUGCCACAGCAUUAGUAGAAUCCGCGAGAAACCUAGGGCAGUCGCCAUGGACGCAUCCGUGAUCAAAGGUGUGGAAGGUCUGGAAUUGAACGGUAGUGAUGCAGCGAUUCGAAAGAGCAGCAUUAGAAGGAUUGCGGUAGAGGGAUACGAUAUCUCCUCUCGUAAGGAUGUUGGCCCUGUUCGUUUUGUGAAUUGGAUGAGAAUUCCAGACGCGGCAUCCGAGCGCAGUAAUUGGAUGCAGCAAUCAGAUGUCGUUCGUUCGUGAUUCUGGAUAUUCUGGAUCAUGCGUCUGGAAAUUGUAUCUGGAUGCAGUUAUGUUCGUUUUGUAUUCUGUAUUUUGUAUCUGGAUGAGUUUUUUUGUCAAAUGACCAAAAACUCUUUUUCUUCUCUUUUGGUCUAAACAUGUAUAUAACUAUAUCUAAAAGUGAAACUAAUUUGUAAAAAAUUAUGUUUAA